rnacentral:tRNA from 1 species
GAGGGCAUAGCUCAGUGGUAGAGUGCAUGCCUAGCAUGCAUGAGGUCCUGGGUUCCACCCCCAGUACCUCCA